rnacentral:rRNA from 1 species
UACGUAGGUGGCAAGCGUUAUCCGGAAUUAUUGGGCGUAAAGAGCGCGCAGGUGGUUGAUUAAGUCUGAUGUGAAAGCCCACGGCUUAACCGUGGAGGGUCAUUGGAAACUGGUCGACUUGAGUGCAGAAGAGGGAAGUGGAAUUCCAUGUGUAGCGGUGAAAUGCGUAGAGAUAUGGAGGAACACCAGUGGCGAAGGCGGCUUUCUGGCCAGUUACUGACGCUCAUGCGCGAGAGCUGGGUUAGCGAACCGGAUUAGAUA